UGGCUCAGAACGAACGCUGGCGGCGUGCUUAACACAUGCAAGUCGAACGCGAAAGGGACUUCGGUCCUGAGUAAAGUGGCGCACGGGUGAGUAACGCGUAGAUAACCUGUCUUCAUGUCUGGAAUAAUACGCCGAAAGGGGUACUAAUACCGGAUAUUCUUGCUUUUCAUAAGUUAUGCAAGCAAAGGUGGCCUCUGCAUAUGCUACUGCAUGAAGAGGGGUCUGCGUACCAUUAGCUAGUAGGUGGGGUAAUGGCCUACCUAGGCGACGAUGGUUAGCGGGUCUGAGAGGAUGAUCCGCCACACUGGCACUGGAACGCGGGCCAGACUCCUACGGGAGGCAGCAGUGAGGAAUAUUGCGCAAUGGGGGAAACCCUGACGCAGCGACGCCGCGUGAGUGAGGAAGGCCUUCGGGUCGUAAAGCUCUGUCAAGAGGAAAGAAGUGUACAAUGGCUAAUACCUGUUGUAUUUGACGGUACCUCUAAAGGAAGCACCGGCUAACUCCGUGCCAGCCGCGGC
rnacentral:rRNA from 1 species